GGGCCUGCAUGCCGAUGGAGGCGACUGAUCCUUGCAAGAUCGGUGCGAUCGGUUCGACUCCGAUCAGGUCCAC
rnacentral:tRNA from 1 species